UGUGCAUCAAUUUUCUCAUCUGUGAAAUAAUAGUAACUAUCCCAUAGGAUUGCCAACUGGGUGUAUGGGAUAAUGCGCUUGAAGUGCAGGAUUCCUGACACUAUAAUCACUGCUCAGCAAAUGCUGUCUUAAAAUUUUUUUGAAGGACCAUAACCCAAACUGGUCUUCCACUGUGAUGCAGGAUAUCUCCUCCUCCCCCGUCUGCCGAGCAACUAGUUCCUUUUUCACCCCCUAGACAAACUGGAUGUUUUGGCUGAUGUUGGAAAACCCCUGGAGCAAAAGCAGAGGGAAAGUACAGUCUGGGUCCAAAGGCCAAGUAGCAAUCUUUUUGCCCCAAGUGAGGCUGCCAGCGGGCAAUAGUGUAGAGGGCAUCAGGGUUGGUGGCACAUGGAGGAGUGUAAAGAAGAGAACAAAGGCCCAGUUUGCAGGAAGCCCACUGUCUGGUGUAGAGCCAGGAGUCAGCUUGGCAAAGAGAGAUCCGCCCAAACCAGAUCUGGACAGGAUUCCAGGGCUGUCAAUGAUGCUGAUGUUCUUCAGGACCUGAUUGGGCAGCUGGGAGCACAUGAAUCUGGAAAAAAGGGAUCAAAGGCGGGAUCAGGAACUACACAUCUCCAAGCUCUGAGGAGCUCCCUGGACUCUCAAGGGCAUAACAUCCUACAAGAGAACUGUGUCCAGGAGUUCGGGGCAUUGAUCUGCAGGCUAGAGCAUGGAGGUCAGAAUCAUUCAAGCAGGGCAGCCCCGGUGGCGCAGCGGUUUAGCGCUGCCUGCAGCCCAGGGCAUGAUCCUGGAGACCCUGGAGACCCUGGAGACCCUGGAUUGAGUCCCACAUCAGGCUCUCUGCAUGGAGCCUGCUUCUCCCUCUGCCUGUGUCUCUGCCUCUCUCUCUGCGUCUCUAUGAAUAAAUAAAAUCUUAAAAAAAAAAGAAUCAUUCAAGCAGUAAUUGUGUUAUGCCCUGUUCUUUUGGUGUGCCUUAAAAAUCAUACAGGAGAUAUGACUUAUUACCUUGGUAAGAUGUCAUGGAGAGUAAAAACUUUCACAGCUAAAGCAUGUGAAAAUUAAUAAAAAGAAACCUCACUAAAGUGGCCUUGGGAGU
rnacentral:lncRNA from 1 species